rnacentral:lncRNA from 1 species
UUUUUAUCUAUAUAUAUGAAGAAAGAUGAUCCAUUUUAAGACAACUUUGUAAAUGUUUGAAGUUGUUAAAACAGAAGUUUCGUAUAAAUGCACAUAUUUAUUCAAUUGAUCUAGCCUUUUCACUUAAAAUUGAUUUUUUUUCAAUACUUUUGUAAUUAAAUAAAUGUAAAUGUAAAAAUAACUAAUUAUGACUCAUGAAAAAUUAGUAUCAAAUCAUAGGUUUCCACAUAUGAAAAAGAUUUCAUCUUGAGUCAAUACUUUAAUUUUGAAAGGUAAUUACUUAUUUUAGUAUUGACUUCUUAGAAUUCAUUGUUUCAUCCUUGUUAUCAUAAUGUGUAUGUUUAAUUGUUUUGGUUAUUGUACAUUUGCAAGAAAUAUAUAAUUAAGUCCAGUAAGAUAUGUAUAAUACAAUUUUGCUUAAGCCUUGGCAAGAUGCCAUGGUAUGUGUGUAAUAUGUGAGUUGGGAGUGAGUCACACAUGUGAAUAAUUGUGUAAUAUGUGUAAGAGAAGACAAAUAUGUCAAUAAACAUUUCUUUAAACCACUUAGUUAUAUUUUUAUCACACAUUCAGGACAUGUAGGUUUCUGUAGAUUUUUUGACAGAUAUUGGAAAUUCUCCGGUUUUAUCCAUGUUUUGCUAUAAAAACAUUUUGCCAGCUAACCCUUACUUUUCUUUUUAUAAUUUUUAAAUCAUAUAGUUUUGAAAGGCUAAUUAAAUUCAUUUUAUUUUUUAUAGUUUUUUGAAAGAAAAUGUGCCAAAGUUAAGGUAUGAAAAGCCUAGAGAAAAUCAUUUCCUGCC